rnacentral:rRNA from 1 species
AACGGCCAUGCCAUGCUGAAUAUACCGGUUCUCGUUAGAUCACCGAAGUCAAGCAUCAUUGGGCGCGGCCAGUACUUGGUUGGGUGACCACCUGGGAACACCGCGUGCCGUU